UUCACUCCUUCCUAUAUUCACUCAUUCAUCCUGAAACCAAAGAAGCACCUCUACAUCUGGGAAACAUUUCCACAACGUGUAACUAACGUUAAUUAGAUGCUGUAUUCCAACCUCAUGUUGUCCCCAUUCUGUGUUGUUGAUGUGUGUGUGUUUUUAUAUGAACAGUUUUGUGUUGUGUUCUAAUGUAUAUUUGUGUGAUACUCAACCAUGGUGCUACAGUCUUUUACUUGAGUAUGUUUAAUGUCAUGUAUGUCUUCCUUGUCAAAGGGAAAGGGAAGGCAGACAUUUUGUUUUUGUAUUUGUAACAUAAUGAUGAUGAUGAUGAUGAACAACAUUCUUGUCAGGACAUUAGAGGAUUAUGAUGUCACAAUGCCAUUUUAUUCACACUUGUGGGAAAUUUAAACAAUGAAUAACCUGUUUUAAUAAAAGUACACAACUCUUCCCCUGACUUACUGAAGCAGCAGUCUCAAUGUGGUGACAACUGUUCCCCUGACUUACUGAAGCAGCAGUCUNNNNNNNNNNUAUCUGUUGGUGUGUUCCUCCAUCUCUCCCUGUAGUCUGCUUCAGGUCAGGAGAGGACGGUGUUAGAGUUUGAUGCCCCUCAGUCAGACUCUCUCCCCCUCAUCGACGUCUCAGUCUCCGACUUCGGAAACAACAACCAGAAGUUUGGCUUCCAACUGGGUCCCGUCUGCUUCAACGGUUAACGGCAGCCCUCCACAGCCGGUAACCGGGAUGAGACGGCCGGUAACAGGGCUAACAUGCCCGGUAACAGGGUUGAGAUCCACGGACAUUUACACAGGGAAACCAGGAGACUGACUGAUGCCGCCAGAGAGAUAUUUAUAUAGCUUUACCCCAGCACUCAUCCAUUCAUACUAACAGACACUCAUCCAUUCAUUCAUUCAUACUAACAGACACUCAUCCAUUCAUUCAUACUUACAGACACUCACAUCCAUUCAUACUAACAGGCACUCAUCCAUUCAUUCAUACUUACAGACACUCACCCAUUCAUCCAUUCCUACUAACAGACAUUCAUCCAUUCAUACUAACAGACACUCAUCCAUUCAUACUAACAGACACUCAUCCAUCCAUUCAUUCAUACUAACAGACACUCAUCUAUUCAUUCAUACUUACAGACACUCACAUCCAUUCAUACUAACAGACACUCAUCCAUUCAUUCUAACAGACACUCAUUCAUCCAUUCAUUCCAGCAGACACUCAUUCACUCAUCCAUUCAUACUACACACACUCAUUCAUGAAUUCAUCCAUUCAUUGAUUCCUCUGUUAAUACUUACAGACACUCAUCCAUUCAUUCAACCUUUCAUCCCAUUCAUUCUUACAGACACUCAUUAAUUAAUUAAUCGAUUGAUCGAUUCAUCCAUUCAUACUUAGACACACAUCCAUUCAUACUUAGACACUCAUUCGUUCAUACUUAGACAUUCAUCCAUUCAUACUUACAAACACUCAUUCAUUCAUCCAUUCAUACUUACAAACACUCAUUCAUUCAUCCAUUCAUACUUACAGACACUCAUGCAUCCAUUCAUCCAUACCUUCAUGCAUUCAUUCAUUCAUCUAUUCAUCCAUACCUACAUUCAUUCAUCCAUCCAUACCUACAUUCAUUCAUUUAUUCAUUCAUUCAUUCAUACACACAGUACAUUGUCCAUUCACACAGUUGCUCACUCAUUCAUUCAUCCAUCAUUCCUGCAUUCACUCCUUCCUAUAUUCACUCAUUCAUCCUGAAACCAAAGAAGCACCUCUACAUCUGGGAAACAUUUCCACAACGUGUAACUAACGUUAAUUAGAUGCUGUAUUCCAACCUCAUGUUGUCCCCAUUCUGUGUUGUUGAUGUGUGUGUGUUUUUAUAUGAACAGUUUUGUGUUGUGUUCUAAUGUAUAUUUGUGUGAUACUCAACCAUGGUGCUACAGUCUUUUACUUGAGUAUGUUUAAUGUCAUGUAUGUCUUCCUUGUCAAAGGGAAAGGGAAGGCAGACAUUUUGUUUUUGUAUUUGUAACAUAAUGAUGAUGAUGAUGAUGAACAACAUUCUUGUCAGGACAUUAGAGGAUUAUGAUGUCACAAUGCCAUUUUAUUCACACUUGUGGGAAAUUUAAACAAUGAAUAACCUGUUUUAAUAAAAGUACACAACUCUUCCCCUGACUUACUGAAGCAGCAGUCUCAAUGUGGUGACAACUGUUCCCCUGACUUACUGAAGCAGCAGUCUAAAUGUGGUGACAACUGUUCCCCUGACUUACUGAAGCAGCAGUCUAAAUGUGGUGACAACUGUUCCCCUGACUUACUGAAGCAGCAGUCNNNNNNNNNNACAUUGUCCAUUCACACAGUUGCUCACUCAUUCAUUCAUCCAUCAUUCCUGCAUUCACUCCUUCCUAUAUUCACUCAUUCAUCCUGAAACCAAAGAAGCACCUCUACAUCUGGGAAACAUUUCCACAACGUGUAACUAACGUUAAUUAGAUGCUGUAUUCCAACCUCAUGUUGUCCCCAUUCUGUGUUGUUGAUGUGUGUGUGUUUUUAUAUGAACAGUUUUGUGUUGUGUUCUAAUGUAUAUUUGUGUGAUACUCAACCAUGGUGCUACAGUCUUUUACUUGAGUAUGUUUAAUGUCAUGUAUGUCUUCCUUGUCAAAGGGAAAGGGAAGGCAGACAUUUUGUUUUUGUAUUUGUAACAUAAUGAUGAUGAUGAUGAUGAACAACAUUCUUGUCAGGACAUUAGAGGAUUAUGAUGUCACAAUGCCAUUUUAUUCACACUUGUGG
rnacentral:lncRNA from 13 species